rnacentral:rRNA from 1 species
CCUACGGGAGGCAGCAGUGAGGAAUAUUGGUCAAUGGACGAGAGUCUGAACCAGCCAAGUAGCGUGAAGGAUGACUGCCCUAUGGGUUGUAAACUUCUUUUAUAAGGGAAUAAAACGUUCCACGUGUGGGUUUUUGUAUGUACCUUAUGAAUAAGGAUCGGCUAACUCCGUGCCAGCAGCCGCGGUAAUACGGAGGAUCCGAGCGUUAUCCGGAUUUAUUGGGUUUAAAGGGAGCGUAGGUGGAUUGUUAAGUCAGUUGUGAAAGUUUGCGGCUCAACCGUAAAAUUGCAGUUGAUACUGGCAGUCUUGAGUACAGUAGAGGUGGGCGGAAUUCGUGGUGUAGCGGUGAAAUGCUUAGAUAUCACGAAGAACCCCGAUUGCGAAGGCAGCUCACUGGACUGUGACUGACACUGAGGCUCGAAAGUGUGGGUAUCAAACAGGAUUAGAUACCCGUGUAGUC